GGGCAAAUGAUGAUCACUAUGAAAUUGAGCUUAUUAUUCCGUGAAGCUUCAAAAUUCGAGCUUUUUAAAGCUGAUGCCCU